rnacentral:rRNA from 1 species
AAACAUGUUUGUUGGAAGCUGUAAGCAGUCUGGCCUGCUCACUGAUAUGAUAAAUCAUAUUUAAGAGCCGCGGUACUUUGACCGUGCAAAGGUAGCAUAAUCAUUAGUUCUUUAAUUGAGAACUUGUAUGAAGGGUCGGACAAAGGAGAAACUGUCUCAGUUACAUUAUUUGAAUUUAACUUUUAAGUGAAAAGGCUUAAAUAGUUCAGGGGGACGAUAAGACCCUAUAAAGCUUUACAUAUUGGUAAAUAUUUGAUUAAAUUGGGGAGUAUAAAAAUUUAAUUUUAUCAAUAUGUUGUAUUGGGGCGAUAUGAGUAUAAAAUGUAUUAACUGCUUAAAUGAUUUACAGUAAUAAAUGAGAGUGAGUAAGUGAUCCUCUUUAGAGAUUAAAAGGUUAAGUUACUUUAGGGAUAACAGCGUUAUUCCUUUUGAGAGUCCAUAUCGAAAAAGGAGUUUGCGACCUCGAUGUUGAAUUAAAGUGUCUAUAUAAUGCAGCCGUUAUAUAAGAAGGUCUGUUCGACCUUUAAAUUUUUACAUGA